rnacentral:rRNA from 1 species
GACAGAGGGUGCAAACGUUGCUCGGAAUUACUGGGCGUAAAGCGCGUGUAGGCGGUUCCGCCAGUCUGGUGUGAAAGCCCGGGGCUCAACUCCGGAAUUGCCUUUAAGACUGCAUCGCUAGAAUUGUGGAGAGGUAAGUGGAAAUUCCGAGUGUAGAGGUGAAAUUCGUAGAUAUUCGGAAGAACACCAGUGGCGAAGGCGACUUACUGGACACAUAUUGACGCUGAGGUGCGAAAGCGUGGGGAGCAAACAGG